UUGAAGUGAGGAUUUUUCUGAGUGUACGUGAAUUUCCAGUGUGAAAAACUCGAUUUGAAAAUGGCGAGCAGUGACCCUCGAAGUUAUGAAAGUUUCCAUGUGUUCAACUGGACCGAGUGCCUGCGUGAGUCGGGAAGUUUACCCGCUCCUGCCGAAAGCUUUAAACAGGCCGUCGGUAUGAAGCUAGAGACACUGGAACCAUGUAAUGCGACUUCAACCUGCAUCGAUAGUGUUGUGGGAGUUCUUGGAUCUCGACUUCGGCUUCGGUUGGAUGGCAGUGACAACAAAAACGAUUUCGGGAGGCUUGUCGAUUUGAGAUACCACGACGUUAUUAGUUGCUUUUUAAGCCAUUGGAAUUAUAUGACAAUUUUCUGAAAUAAAUGUUUUAUAUUUCA